rnacentral:rRNA from 1 species
UGGGGAAUUUUGGACAAUGGGCGCAAGCCUGAUCCAGCAAUGCCGCGUGCAGGAAGAAGGCCUUCGGGUUGUAAACUGCUUUUGUCAGGGAAGAAAUCCUCUGGGUUAAUACCUCGGGGGGAUGACGGUGCCUGAAGAAUAAGCACCGGCUAACUACGUGCCAGCAGCCGCGGUAAUACGUAGGGUGCGAGCGUUAAUCGGAAUUACUGGGCGUAAAGCGUGCGCAGGCGGUUGUGCAAGACAGGUGUGAAAUCCCCGGGCUUAACCUGGGAACUGCACUUGUGACUGCACGGCUAGAGUACGGUAGAGGGGGGAUGGAAUUCCGCGUGUAGCAGUGAAAUGCGUAGAUAUGCGGAGGAACACCGAUGGCGAAGGCAAUCCCCUGGACCUGUACUGACGCUCAUGCACGAAAGCGUGGGGAGCAAACAGGAUUAGAUACCCUGGUAGUCCACGCCCUAAAACGAUGUCAACUGGUUGUUGGACGGCUUGCUGUUCAGUAACGAAGCUAACGCGUGAAGUUGACCGCCUGGGGAGUACGGCGCAAGUUGAAACUCAAAGGAAUUGACGGGGUCAUAGCUGUUCC